UAACGCGUGAGGAACCUGCCUCAAAGAGGGGGACAACAGUUGGAAACGACUGCUAGUACCGCAUAAGCCCACAGCUCGGCAUCGAGCAGAGGGAAAAGGAGUGAUCCGCUUUGAGAUGGCCUCGCGUCCGAUUAGCUAGUUGGUGAGGUAAUGGCCCACCAAGGCGACGAUCGGUAGCCGGACUGAGAGGUUGAACGGCCACAUUGGGACUGAGACACGGCCCAG
rnacentral:rRNA from 1 species